rnacentral:rRNA from 1 species
AGAGUUUGAUCCUGGCUCAGGAUGAACGCUAGCGAUAGGCUUAACACAUGCAAGUCGAGGGGCAGCACGUCUUCGGAUGGUGGCGACCGGCGCACGGGUGAGUAACACGUAUGCAACCUACCCAUAACAGGGGGAUAGCUCACUGAAAGGUGAAUUAAUACCGCAUAACACAGGGAUGCCGCAUGGCAAUAUUUGUUAAAGAAAUUCGGUUAUGGAUGGGCAUGCGUUCCAUUAGGUAGUUGGUGAGGGUAACGGCCCACCAAGCCAUCGAUGGAUAGGGGAACUGAGAGGUUUAUCCCCCACACUGGUACUGAGACACGGACCAGACUCCUACGGGAGGCAGCAGUGAGGAAUAUUGGUCAAUGGGCGAGAGCCUGAACCAGCCAAGUCGCGUGAAGGAUGACGGUAUUAUGUAUUGUAAACUUCUUUUUAUAGGG